rnacentral:sRNA from 1 species
GCGCAGUAGGGGGCUCUCGCGGUUGGGGAACAUAGAUGGCUGGAGACAGAAUCUAGAGCCUUCAAAUAAUGUGGAGAUGUUUCCACCUUCAGGAGUUCGAGACCAGCCUGGGCAACAUGUGAAAUCCCGUCUCUACUAAAAAUACAAAAAAUUAGCCGGGCAUAGUGGCUCAUUCCUGUAGUCCCAGCUACUCUGGAGGAUGAGGUGGGAGGAUCACCUGAGGCUGGGAGGUCGAGGCCACAGUGAACUGUGAUCCCAUCACUGCACUCUAGCCUGGGUGACAAAGCGAGAUCUUUUCUCAAAAAAAAAGAAAGUAGUAAGAAAAAUUCAAAAGAUAAUGUGACGGAGAGACUGUGGGGUGAGUCAGCCUCAGGUAGGAUGCUCAGAGACAGCCUCUCUGAGGAGGUGACAGCAUCUGAGGAGAGUGGCAUGGUCAGUUGGUGGGUCUUGUGGGGUGGGUCAAGGGCUAUUCCCAUCUUCGAGUGGACACAUGGAACGUGGAACAUGGAACACUGGGCUCAGAUUCCAUCCUCAGAACCUAAGCUUCUGUCUCCCUGCGUGGCAUUCAUUCUUUUUCUUUUCUUUUCUUUCUUUCUUUCUUUUUUUUU